rnacentral:lncRNA from 1 species
GCCUGUCGUCGCAUGGCUGCGUGGCCACUGGCCAGCGCCGUGUCUAUCCUAGCCACUUGACGUGUACAUACUACCGAUGCGGCACGGCGCUGCACCGAGCUUUCAAGUCCCACAACUGGCUUAUCUCCGUGCAACUGCAAGUGCAAUGCAACCGGGACGAUUCGAUCAGGUUUGAAUGGACUGCAGGUGGCCAUGAGCAACCAUCAUCUCUCACCUUAAUCAUACAUUUUCACAAGGACCUGCUGUGCUCUUCUAUGGCUUUUACUCACCUCCGUGCUUAAUGUUACUUAUUAUGUUACGUAAAACAUUCCGGUGCUACCCAUAUCAGGAACUUGGAACUCUUUUCCAUCAAAAAAAGGAAGUUGAAAUCUUAUCUGGUAAGCUCUUUGUCAAGUUUUGGCUCUGCGUGGACCAAAU